rnacentral:rRNA from 2 species
UGGCUGGUGUUCUAACGUAGACCCGUGAUCCGGGUUGCGGACAGUGUCUGGUGGGUAGUUUGACUGGGGCGGUCUCCUCCCAAAGAGUAACGGAGGAGCACGAAGGUUGGCUAAUCCUGGUCGGACAUCAGGAGGUUAGUGCAAUGGCAUAAGCCAGCUUGACUGCGAGCGUGACGGCGCGAGCAGGUGCGAAAGCAGGUCAUAGUGAUCCGGUGGUUCUGAAUGGAAGGGCCAUCGCUCAACGGAUAAAAGGUACUCCGGGGAUAACAGGCUGAUACCGCCCAAGAGUUCAUAUCGACGGCGGUGUUUGGCACCUCGAUGUCGGCUCAUCACAUCCUGGGGCUGAAGUAGGUCCCAAGGGUAUGGCUGUUCGCCAUUUAAAGUGGUACGCGAGCUGGGUUUAGAACGUCGUGAGACAGUUCGGUCCCUAUCUGCCGUGGGCGCUGGAGAAUUGAGGGGGGCUGCUCCUAGUACGAGAGGACCGGAGUGGACGCAUCACUGGUGUUCGGGUUGUCAUGCCAAUGGCACU